AAAUAAGAAGCAAAACUUGCAUUUAAUUUCGACUUAAAAAUUAGAGUUAAUUAACUCCUUAUUUA
rnacentral:tRNA from 1 species